CAGUCUGUACAGUUUCACCACAUUUUCGCCAUAUUCAUAUAGGAUUCCUUGUGGCGUCUCCUACCUUCUCAAAAACCUGGCAAUAGAACUAGAACUAAAUUGUCUCAAGGAGCAUAUGCAUGUGUUUAUAACAUUUAUAACAACAGCUGUAUGUUGAAGAUUUGUCAACUGACAGAGAAACACCUCCAACAGGUUUUACUCGUUGACUGAUUACGCCAGCAUUUUAACAGAGAUUUGCUGGAGAGAUCGCUUGUCUAUACAACAGCUAAAAGCAAAGGCAUAAAGUUUCAGAAGAACCCACUUCCUCAAAACAUGAGUUCAUACACCAGUGAACAGCCACAAAAGCUUCUAUUAGAGCAGAGCCCUGACUAUGUGAACACACCACCUGACGACCAUGGAGUUUCACAAAACCUGCCAUUGCACUCAUUUGUCUGGUGCCAAUGGGACUUAAAAAAAAUGGCAAAGCAAAGGUCCAUGGAAGGUUGUAUAGAAUUUAAAGAUGUCCCUGUGCAAAAAGCCUGAAAUGUGCCAAAAAAGGACAUCCAUUGAGGACAAAAACAAGAGUCCAAUGAUGAGGAUCAACACAGUAGCAAGAAGCAUUACACAGUUAUUUUUUCUAGGAUCUUAUUUUUUCUUAGUCUCUGUCUCUGCGUUUAUGUUACUGUGUGCCAACAAUGACAUUCAUUGAGGACAGAAACAGCAUAAUGAUCCAAUGAUGAGGAGCAACACAGUGGCAAGAAGAAUAAUCUGUAGAUAAACCACAAAAUGUGAAUUUCCCUUUGGGAUGAUUAAAGUAUCUAAAUAUCUAUCUAUCUAAAAUGCUAAUGAUGCUGCUGAUGUAACUGAAGAAGAAAAAGAAACCUGUUGCAUUUUUUGAAUGAAUAGGAUAACAUUCUCCAAAAUUGCAUGACCCAGACCACUUUUAACCACUGAAAUUAACUGUGUUAAUCGAUCAGUGCACAUUUAUUACAUAAUCUUAUGAUAACAAAUGUUCACACAUUUUUUUGUUUGUACCAGAAAUAAAUGAAAUAUUUUUAAACAGUCAUAUUAUUUGCUUUAA